rnacentral:rRNA from 1 species
GAUGAACGCUGGCGGCGUGCUUAAUACAUGCAAGUCGAACGGAAAGGCCCCCUUGUUGCGUACUUGACUGGCGAACGGGAGGGUAACACGACAGUAACCUACCCUUCACUUUGGGCUAACUUCAGUAAACUGGGGCUAAUAUCGUAUCGGAUCUUCUGCUGCACGGCGGGGGUUGGUAAUUUUGGGCGGUUGGGGUUUGACUUGAGGCUAAUCAGCUUGCUCGUGGGGUAGUGGUUCACCAAGCGGUUGACGGGUAGCCGGCAUGAGAGGGUGACCGGCGACAAUGGGACUGAGAUACGGCCCAGAAUGGUAUGGGAGGCAGCAGUGGGAAGUAUUGCGCAAUGGGCGGAAGUCUGAUGUAGAAGCGCCGGGUGCGGAAUGACGGCUUUCGGGUUGUAAACAGCUUUGGAAGGAGACGAAGAGUGAGUGACGGUAAUGGGUAAAGAAGCACCGGCUAACUACGUG